rnacentral:lncRNA from 1 species
CUUUUGACAAGAACAGUAAGACACUGGUUGUUUAGUCAAGGAUUCGUGAAGCUUUCUCAAAUGUUCACAGCCCAGUAGGGUACACAGCAGAUGCCAGCAUCCAUCUUCAUUUACUGAUGAGACUGAACUCUAAGGGGUCAGAGAAUGUCUGAGAUCACAAAGGCAGUAAGCACGCAGCUGGCCGGGUCAUUGGGUUCCUGGCCAGUGCUCUUUCUACCAUCAUACAUUAUUGCAUGCUGCCCUUUUCACUCACGUGGGCAUCAGCAGACCUUUUUCUGACCAUACAGAUCUCUGAGUUCCAUCAGAGCCUCCCCAAAGCUAAGUGUUUAUGUCUCCUUCUAUGACCAAAAGUUUCAGUGCUCUGAGGAGCAUUCUAGCUUUGAAAUACUUUAUUGAACCAGCUUCUAUCAACAUUAUGAAGAUCACUCAAAGUUCCAUUCUUGCAACAAAGGUGACCAGAUAUUACUCCAAGGGACAAUAAUGGAGAACUCCGCGGCCAAAAUGCUUAGAAGGAAAUCAAGCGAAUCCAGAAGAGAAUAAAGAGAGUGUAAAAGGAAAACUGAGAAUACAAAGAUUUUCCAGACCCUUCUAAAUUUUACAGUUUGAAAAACCACAGUGCUUUGCAAAAUAUCACAUUCAAUUGUCAGUUAAAAAAAAUUCUGUUAGAAGUCUCCUCAGUGCACCAAAGGGUGGGGAGGAGCCGCUGACUGGCCUCCAG